rnacentral:rRNA from 1 species
UACGGAGGGUGCGAGCGUUGUCCGGAAUCACUGGGCGUAAAGGGCGCGUAGGCGGCCUGGUAAGUAGGGUGUGAAAUCCUGCGGCUUAACCGCAGGGCUGCCUUCUAAACUGUCAGGCUAGAGCACAGUAGAGGCAGGUGGAAUUCCCGGUGUAGCGGUGGAAUGCGUAGAUAUCAGGAGGAACACCGGUGGCGAAGGCGGGUCUCUGGGCCGAUACUGACGCUGAGGAGCGAAAGCGUGGGGAGCGAACAGG